rnacentral:rRNA from 1 species
AUCAGGGGUAGGGGAGCGUUGAAUGCGGGUUGAAGGUGUACCGGAAGGAGCGCUGGACUGCAUUCAAGUGAGAAUGCCGGUAUGAGUAACGAAAAGAUCUGUGAGAAUCAGAUCCGCCGAAAGCCUAAGGGUUCCUGAGGAAGGUUCGUCCGCUCAGGGUAAGUCGGGACCUAAGGCGAGGCCGAUAGGCGUAGUCGAAGGACAACAGGU